CUUAAGGCGGUUUUCCACUAGGCGAAAUUUUUCGACCGAAUUGAAAUUUCUCUUUGUUUCAGAGCUCUCGAGCAGAACUAAUUGUAAAAAGACAAAGAGAAAUUUCGUUUCGGUCGAAAAAUUCCGCCUCGUGGAAUCCGGCCUUUAAAGGCCUGAUUCCACGAGGCGGAAUUUUUCGACCGAAACGAAUUACAAUUAGUUCUGCUCGAGAGCUCCGAAACAAAGAGAAAUUUCGAUUCGGUCGAAAAAUUUCGCCUAGUGGAAAACCGCCUUAAG